rnacentral:rRNA from 1 species
GAUGAACGCUGGCGGCGUGCUUAACACAUGCAAGUCGAACGGAAAGGCCCAAGCUUGCUUGGGUACUCGAGUGGCGAACGGGUGAGUAACACGUGGGUGAUCUGCCCUGCACUUCGGGAUAAGCCUGGGAAACUGGGUCUAAUACCGGAUAGGACCACUUCUUGGAUGUUGUGGUGGAAAGUUUUCUCGGUGUGGGAUGAGCUCGCGGCCUAUCAGCUUGUUGGUGGGGUAAUGGCCUACCAAGGCGUCGACGGGUAGCCGGCCGGAGAGGGUGUACGGCCACAUUGGGACUGAGAUACGGCCCAGACUCCUACGGGAGGCAGCAGGGGGGAAUAUUGCACAAUGGGCGCAAGCCUGAUGCAGCGACGCCGCGUGGGGGAUGACGGCCUUCGGGUUGUAAACUCCUUUCGCUAGGGACGAAGCGUUUUUGUGACGGUACCUGGAGAAGAAGCACCGGCUAACUACGUG